GGGGGGAAUGGGAUCAGGGUCUGUGUGGGGGGAAUGGGUUCACGGUCUGUGUGGGGGGAAAUGGGUUCACGGUCUGUGUGGUGGGGAAUGGGUUCACGGUCUGUGUGGUGGGGAAUGGGAUCUGGGUCUGUGUGGUGGGGAAUGGGUUCACGGUCUGUGUGGUGGGGAAUGGGUUCACGGUCUGUGUGGUGGGGAAUGGGAUCAGGGUCUGUGUGGUGGGAAAUGUGAUCAGGGUCUGUGUGGUGGGGAAUGGGUUCACGGUCUGUGUGGUGGGGAAAGGGAUCUGGGUCUGUGUGGGGGGAAUGGGAUCUGGGUCUGUGUGGUGGGGAAUGGGAUCUGGGUCAGUGUGGUGGGGAAUGGGAUCUGGGUCUGUGUGGUGGGGAAUGGGUUCAAGGUCUGUGUGGUGGGGAAUGGGUUCACGGUCUGUGUGGGGGGAAUGGGAUCUGGGUCUGUGUGGGGGG
ensembl:lncRNA